rnacentral:rRNA from 1 species
GAUGAACGCUGGCGGCGUGCCUAAUACAUGCAAGUCGAGCGAACGGACGAGAAGCUUGCUUCUUUGAUGUUAGCGGCGGACGGGUGAGUAACACGUGGAUAACCUACCUAUAAGACUGGGAUAACUUCGGGAAACCGGAGCUAAUACCGGAUAAUAUUUUGAACCGCAUGGUUCAAAAGUGAAAGACGGUCUUGCGGUCACUUAUAGAUGGAUCCGCGCUGCAUUAGCUAGUUGGUAAGGUAACGGCUUACCAAGGGAACGAUGCAUAGCCGACCUGAGAGGGUGAUCGGCCACACUGGAACUGAGACACGGUCCAGACUCCUACGGGAGGCAGCAGUAGGGAAUCGUCCGCAAUGGGCGAAAGCCUGACGGAGCAACGCCGCGUGAGUGAUGAAGGUCUUCGGAUCGUAAAACUCUGUUAUUAGGGAAGAACAUACGUGUAAGUAACUGUGCACAUCUUGACGGUACCUAAUCAGAAAGCCACGGCUAACUACGUG